rnacentral:RNase_P_RNA from 2 species
GAAGCCAUUUGCGAGACCUUAAAGGCAUUUGAUUGCUUUCCUCUCGCGGGAAGGUCUGAGUCAUUGCGUUGCGCUUCCGUGAUGGGAGUGGCUUCGAUAAAGUCAGGGGGUAACAGAAAAGGAUUCCUCGUAGCUGCAUGUCCGUGGAAGCCAUUUGGCUGAGGUCUGGCUACGAGGAAAUGAAAUGAGUCCCUUGCUGGCGCGUAUAGCGAGAUUGGUGCUGGAACCCAAUUCAGACUACAGUAGUGGGUCCUUU